UUUCAGCCAUUGGCAAUAUUCCCAGCCAUACUGACCACUGUUUUAGCCUCAAGUUUUAUAGUUCUACUUGUCUUCCUCUGGUUCAUCAUUCAUAAAAGCAAAUGUCAACAUUGCCAAGCUGCUGUUGAGCUGCAAACGCCAUAUGAUCUGAGCAGCCACAAGACAGAAGAAGACAGAAUGCUGUUUUCUGCUGCAGUCUUCACCUUGAUUAAAACUGUUCAGACUGAAACAAAAGCACCAGAAAGACGGAUAUUUGCUGCAGUAGAAGCCUAACCCCUGAGUUAAACAUACCCAACCUCAAUCUUAUUUGUCUGUUUGGUUUUCCUACAAACAUCGGUUUGAAUUGAAUUUAGAUUAAUGAGCACAAAAGUCAUAUAUCUAUAUAGGUCCAGAGCCUUUGACCCUUGUGGGCUAUAUGGCUUUAUGAAGCAGUGGGAGAUCCAGGAUCUAAACAACUCAUGGUAAAAGUUUAAAAUGUUCAAAUGUGUACUGAAUCUAGUUCUUUUACAGAAAAAAAAAAAUAGGAUUCAACAACAGGCAGGAAAACCUUAUUCAACAAUGGAAGCAGAUUAUCCAUGUACAUACUCACUGCAAAGACUAUUUAGAAAUAAGUAAAUAUUUCUUAAAUUAGGUGUAUUUAUCCUUAUUCUAAGUAG